GGAGGGAUCAUUACAAGUGACCCCGGUCUAACCACCGGGAUGUUCAUAACCCUUUGUUGUCCGACUCUGUUGCCUCCGGGGCGACCCUGCCUUCGGGCGGGGGCUCCGGGUGGACACUUCAAACUCUUGCGUAACUUUGCAGUCUGAGUAAACUUAAUUAAUAAAUUAAAACUUUUAACAACGGAUCUCUUGGUUCUGGCAUCGAUGAAGAACGCAGCGAAAUGCGAUAAGUAAUGUGAAUUGCAGAAUUCAGUGAAUCAUCGAAUCUUUGAACGCACAUUGCGCCCCCUGGUAUUCCGGGGGGCAUGCCUGUUCGAGCGUCAUUUCACCACUCAAGCCUCGCUUGGUAUUGGGCAACGCGGUCCGCCGCGUGCCUCAAAUCGACCGGCUGGGUCUUCUGUCCCCUAAGCGUUGUGGAAACUAUUCGCUAAAGGGUGCUCGGGAGGCUACGCCGUAAAACAAACCCAUUUCUAAGGUUGACCUCGGAUCAGGUAGGGAUACCCGCUGAACUUAAGCAUAUCAAUAAGCGGAGGAAAAGAAACCAACAGGGAUUGCUCUAGUAACGGCGAGUGAAGCAGCAAUAGCUCAAAUUUGAAAUCUGGCGUCUUCGACGUCCGAGUUGUAAUUUGUAGAGGAUGCUUCUGAGUAACCACCGACCUAAGUUCCUUGGAACAGGACGUCAUAGAGGGUGAGAAUCCCG
rnacentral:rRNA from 1 species